rnacentral:rRNA from 1 species
CGGACAGGUGAGUAAUGUCUGGGAAACUGCCUGAUGGAGGGGGAUAACUACUGGAAACGGUAGCUAAUACCGCAUAACGUCGCAAGACCAAAGAGGGGGACCUUCGGGCCUCUUGCCAUCGGAUGUGCCCAGAUGGGAUUAGCUAGUAGGUGGGGUAACGGCUCACCUAGGCGACGAUCCCUAGCUGGUCUGAGAGGAUGACCAGCCACACUGGAACUGAGACACGGUCCAG